GACAGAGAGAGAGGCAUUUAUGGAAUCUGUGGCCUGACGAGAGUAAAGGCUUGUAAACGCAUGGGAGAAUCGUUGAGUCAUUUCGCACUCUGGAUCCAUAACUAAAGGAUUAAUGAAACAGAGAGGACUCAUAACUCAUACAUUGGAACAUGAUGCCGCCCAAACCCGCCAGGACAAAGUACUUGAUGAAGUCCCCGAUCACCAGCUCCUAUGACGUCCCACAGUCGACUUAUGAGGACCUGGACGCACCAAUGCCUGCUGUCACAGAUGGAAGCCAGUCAGAGGUUAAAUUCAAGCCUGUACCUCGUCCCAGGUCUAAAAUACAACCAAAGUCCCAUCGUAACAACAACAACAACACUGCUGACUCUGCAGACACAACUGGCAAUACGACCAAUGCAGUGAGUUCCCAACUCAGUGGAUAUGCCGCAGACCAUAAGACGCCUCACUCUGUUCGUCCUCCUCCCAGACCGCCGCUGAGCAAAUAUAUGACCUCCGCAAAACCCACAGCAGCAGUUGACGGAGGCAAUCACUAUAUGACUUCAGUUUAUGAGCCACCUGUGAGGGCAUACUAUUCAUUUAAUUGUACAAAAUGUUACUAUUUAAAAGGAUUGCCGCAUGUGUGUUAUUGCUAGAAAUAUGACUCGUCUUAAAGGAAUAGUUAGAUAUUUUGGGAAAUAUUAGCGUUCUUGCUGAGAGUUGGAGGAGAAGUUCAAUACUACUCUGUUUUAGAGGUGCUGGUAGGCAGACUGUGUUACCUAUGGACAGAGCCAGGCUAUGAGGGAUACAACUAAACCCUUAAUACAAACUAACUUUUAGAUUUUUUAACUUUACAAACAUAGUGUGUAAGGAUAAUUUAGGGAGAUUAUAGGAGAUCAGGCAUCUUUGUCCUCUUUUAAAACUCACUUGUUAAAACUAUGCCUUUACUUAAUUAAUGCCUUGCUGUGUAUUUUUUAUAUUAUUUUAAAAUCUUAUGGUAUUGGCCACUUUAUCUUAGUGUAUUGAUUAUUGUAUGUUCUUUUUAAUAAUGGUUUUAUUUUAUUGUCCUUUUAUUGGAUUUUUAUUUAGCUGUUGUGAGGUAUUUUGUCAUUUCUUUUUGAAAGGUGCUUUACAAAUAAAAUGUAUUGUAUAGCUUUCUUCCUCCUUCUUAAUUUCUCUGCUAGCCUCCAUCUCCUCCUACACCGCGGCCUGAACGACCCCCUCCUCCCUCCAUCUAUUACAACAGAUGUUCUACAAUGAAGCUAAAACCUGAGGUAGGGGUUAACGUGUUUCACCUCCACUAACUCCACAGAGUUUUCUCAAAUAUAUAUAUACGUAUAUAACUAGACUAAUCAGACUACAGAUAAAGAACUCACCUGUUCCUGAGUUAACAUUUGAAAUAUGUUUUUCUU
ensembl:lncRNA